rnacentral:lncRNA from 1 species
UCCUGACCUCAGGUGAUCCGCCCGCCUCGGCCUCCCAAAGUUCUGGGAUUACAGGCGUGAGCCACUGCGCCUGGCCUGAAAUUUGUUCUUAUCUUUAAAUGAUCCUACAAGAUUAUCUCAUCAUCUCAUUCACACAAAAUUCUCAAUAUAUAUAUUUUAAAGGUUUUAUACAACUACUGAAUACUUAAAUUACCGGAAGAAUUACAGAUGGUGAUAUUCUAUAGACAUUUAAAAAAUCAUAUUCUGGACAAUGAGAAUACUAGUUAUCUUUCUUCUUUAAACUUUUCUGAGUUUUUCAAACCACCACCAAAAGUCACAAAGACAACCUGCUUUCACUUUCAAACACUUAAGUUUUGUUAAAAAUUAUUUGAAACACAAUGCAAGCAAAAAAAAAAAAAAAGGUCAAAUGUUUCUUGAGUAUAACAUGAAAGAAGAGCAAAGUCUGAAAGACUGAUAACAUUUUCAGAGAUUCUGGAGCCAUGAUAUACUUAAGGGGAUGGGGGCUAAAAAUAAGGUAAAUACUUUAAACUUUUUCUGCAUUAAAGAAUUAUAGUUGAUCUAAGUAGACUACUAUAUUUCUUCCUACUAUAGUUAGCUGGUAUACUGAAGACAGGUAGACAUGCUUUAUUCUUAACACAUUCCUUAAAGAUGAACCAAUCAAAAUUAUUUUCUUGACACUAAAAAAAUCCACUGGAAGCCAGUGGAUUAUGAAAAAUGUUAUGAGAAUAAUCACGAGAAUAAUGUUAAGUAUUUCUUUCUUUUUUUUUUUUUUUUUUUGAGGAGUCUCACUCUGUCCCUCAGGCUGGAGUGCAGUGGCAUGAUCUGGACUCACUGCAGCCUCCGCCUCCCAGGUUCAAGUGACUCUCCUGCCUCAGGUUCCUGAGUAGCUGGAAUUACAGGCGUGCACCACCACACCCAGCUAAUUUUUGUAUUUUUAGUAGAGGCAGUGUCUCAUCAUGUUGGCCAGGCUGGUCAUGACCUCAAAUGAUCCGCCCACCUCGGCCUCCCAAAGUGCUGAGAUUACAGGCGUGAGCCACUGCGCCUGGC